GGGCAGGCCGGCCGGCCGCACCCCCGGCCUGGGGCCUCCGGUCGUAGUAAAGCGGAGGUGGGUGGGGAGGCGGGAGCGAGAGCCCGCGGCGGGCGAGGCGAAGAUGGUGGCGGCUACUCCUCCUGUCACACACGUGGACCUAACUGCACCAAAAGCUUUUCUAAGGAUACUUGCUGAGAAGAAAGUUCUCCCUAGUGGUAAUUGCUAACUGGAGGCCGGAAGAAAAGAAAAAUGUUUUGCCACGUGGAUGUGAAGAUUUCCUCUAAAAGGCAACCUAUCUAAGCACAGCAAGCCAGACUUGAGUUUUUCCCUGUAGUUUGAAGAUCCCUACAGAAUGAUUGCUGACAAAAUGCAACCUACCGCUGCCUGGAGAACCAUUCAGUGUCACAUCAAAGUUUACUAUGUAUUUAAUGAAGUACUACUCUUAGCAGUUGACAACCCUGGUAUAAUUUGUCUAACAUUAAAAUUGGGAGCCUCUGAGCUGAGCAGUAAAGGUAAGGAGAGCUCAGUACACAAGGCCAAUUUUUGUUGUCCGGCUGGAAAUAAUACCAUGCUUAUUUGAGACUGCGUAUUAUUCUUUACCUUAGAAGUUGUUAAGCUUUCAUUGUGCUUAAAGUCUGAAUUUAAUGUAGUUUUCUGUUCUGAUAAGUUGCAUUCAGGAUGUAAUAUUCUUACUGAGUUUUAAAGGAUUACUAAAAUGGAUGUAUUCCAUGAAUUUUAUAAUCAUAGGAAAAUUACAGACGGCUUAGUUUUCCUUUUUCUAAUCGAGCACAGAUACAGCAUUCAGAGAUGCUUACGUAUUUGCAGUUUGGUCAUGCUGUUUGAGUUGUUUUAGUGCAUUUAAUGUAAAUAAAAUUAUGCAUUUUUAAACUACUUGUUAAAUUGCCCAGAAUAAGCAUGUGAAAUAAAAAUUUUAAGGUUA